rnacentral:misc_RNA from 1 species
AAGUCGUAACAAGGUUUCCGUAGGUGAACCUGCGGAAGGAUCAUUAAUGAAAUUUAGGGUGCCUUGCCUUCAUUGGCGAGGGCCUGACCUCCAUUACCUUCACCCAUUGUGCACCAAAAAUAACAGGUUCGGAAGCAUUGUGACUGAAACUAGCGAAAGCGAAAUCGGAAGCAAAGCUUUCAACCUUCACCUUUAAACACCCAAAGUCAAUGAAUGUAAACCAAACCAAAACAAAAUAAAACUUUCAACAACGGAUCUCUUGGCUCUC